rnacentral:rRNA from 1 species
GGGUCAUCAGGUCGGUCGUGCCACAGGUAUGUACUGGCCUUGCUGAUUCCUCCCUCUUGACGAGCCGUAAUGCCAUUAAUUUGGUGUUGCGGGGAAUCAGGACUGUUACUUUGAAAAAAUUAGAGUGUUUAAAGCAGGCUUACGCUUGAAUACAUUAGCAUGGAAUAAUGAAAUAGGACGUUCGAUCCUAUUUUGUUGGUUUCUAGGAUUGACGUA